AAAACAUUGUCAUUGACAUCGAGCGCCUAUGUGAGCGCCCAAAGCAAAACUAAUUCGAAAUCAUGGAGGAUUUACACAUUACAAAUGCAAUUCCUAAUGGCAAUAAGAUUAAGCAGACCCAGUUGAGUGUCAUUGAGAGGUUCUUGCGGUGUUGUCAGGCCUGUCAGAGGCCUGAACGCCUCGUACUGGUUUCUAGAACAGGCAGCGUGGACACUCAAGCUGUGGAACACUUGGUGCAUUUGUUAUGAGUGCAGCAGACCUGGGUUCCUUGCGCUGGUGGCCCCGCUGUCCCACGACAAGGCUAACCACGCCCUCGAACGCCUUCCCCUUAUACAUCUUGUGGGCAUAACAAAGCUGACCUCUACUGUAGCAACCCGACCUAUAAAUGGCGAUAUUAGACCUCAAAACAAGUAGCUACCAGACCUACAGCCAAGUAGCCACCGGUCCUCUACAUAGAACUGUCGAGAGGAGUAAAAAUAAGUGAAUAUAAGUGACAGUAAUGGAAACCAGAACUAGCUUAAUGCAGAUUUCUGAUUUCACAAUCAACUGUAUGGGCAUUGUUUUUGUUGGCUUUUCUUACUAUGCAAUUGUUAAAACCGUCGGCGUUAAAGAUAAAACAUGUUUGAGUAUAGUUGAUUGUAUCGAGUAAACUGAGAUUUCUCUCCAUCAUCGCCUCAGGAGCCUUAAUGAUUGUGUUAAUGUGUGAUUUGAAAUAAUCGCAUCUAAUAUAUAUCACCUAAAAUUUUAACCACUUCAUCAAAGCAUUGUACAAACCUCAUUUUAACUCUCGCCCACGCAUGCCUAGCCCAACAUAGUUACACCCUACAACUAGCUAUAACUCUCGCCCACGCAUGCCUAGCCCGACAUAGUUACACCCUACAACUAGCUAUCCACGCAUGCCUAGCCCGACAUAGUUACACCCUACAACUAGCUAUAACUCUCGCCCACGCAUGCCUAGCCCGACAUAGUUACACCAUACAACUAGCUAUCCACGCAUGCCUAGCCCGACAUAGUUACACCCUACAACUAGCUAUCCACGCAUGCCUAGCCCGACAUAGUUACACCCUACAACUAGCUAUAACUCUCGCCCACGCAUGCCUAGCCCGACAUAGUUACUCCCUACAACUAGCUAUAUUUUUUUACUGUGUAGAAGGAUACUGUAACGACCAUUACCAAUUACUCAAUUAUAUAUAAUAAUCAUUAAUGGUUAGUAAUGUGGUUUCAUUCGUUUUCAAAUUGUUCGUAGAAAAAAAUAGUAGAUUAAAAAUCACCAUGCAUUUCAUCCUUCUCGUUUUGGUAACACUCAUAGCUAAUCAUUACUAGAACAAAUUAAUUAUGAAAAAUUGGGAUAAAAUAGCACCCGAUAGUAUCAAUGCAAUUUCAAUGUACAGCUUAAACGUGUUCAGAAUGGUCAUGUCUAAUACAUUGCCUCGGAGUGCAGGACGUAUUCCAACAAACAGUUUUACCCUAAUUAUUUAUUUCAUUACCAUGUUUGUUUUUUAUGUUAUCGAGUUGUAUUCAUUGCUACACACAAAAUAAUCAUAUUUGUACAGUCCCAGAU